AGAGUUUGAUCAUGGCUCAGAUUGAACGCUGGCGGCAUGCCUUACACAUGCAAGUCGAACGGUAACGCGGGGGCAACCCUGGCGACGAGUGGCGAACGGGUGAGUAAUACAUCGGAACAUAUCCAGUAGCGGGGGAUAACCUAUCGAAAGAUGGACUAAUACCGCAUACGAUCUACGGAUGAAAGCAGGGGACCGCAAGGCCUUGCACUAUUGGAGUGGCCGAUGUCGGAUUAGCUAGUUGGUGAGGUAAAGGCUUACCAAGGCGACGAUCCGUAGCUGGUCUGAGAGGACGAUCAGCCACACUGGAACUGAGACACGGUCCAGACUCCUACGGGAGGCAGCAGUGGGGAAUUUUGGACAAUGGGCGCAAGCCUGAUCCAGCCAUGCCGCGUGAGUGAAGAAGGCCUUCGGGUUGUAAAGCUCUUUCGGUGAAGACGAAACGGUUAGCGCUAAUAACGCUGACUAAUGACGGUACUCACAGAAGAAGCACCGGCUAACUACGUGCCAGCAGCCGCGGUAAUACGUAGGGUGCAGGCGUUAAUCGGAAUUACUGGGCGUAAAGCGUGCGCAGGCGGUUUGCUAAGACAGGUGUGAAAUCCCCGAGCUUAACUUGGGAAUUGCGCUUGUAACUGGCAAGCUAGAGUGUGGCAGAGGGGGGUGGAAUUCCACGUGUAGCAGUGAAAUGCGUAGAUAUGUGGAGGAACACCGAUGGCGAAGGCAGCCCCCUGGGUUAACACUGACGCUCAUGCACGAAAGCGUGGGGAGCAAACAGGAUUAGAUACCCUGGUAGUCCACGCCCUAAACUAUGUCAACUAGUUGUCGGGGAAGAAAUUCCUUGGUAACGAAGCUAACGCGUGAAGUUGACCGCCUGGGGAGUACGGCCGCAAGGUUAAAACUCAAAGGAAUUGACGGGGACCCGCACAAGCGGUGGAUUAUGUGGAUUAAUUCGAUGCAACGCGAAAAACCUUACCUACCCUUGACAUGCUAGGAAGCCCGCAGAGAUGUGGGUGUGCCCGAAAGGGAACCUAGACACAGGUGCUGCAUGGCUGUCGUCAGCUCGUGUCGUGAGAUGUUGGGUUAAGUCCCGCAACGAGCGCAACCCUUGCCAUUAGUUGCUACAUUUAGUUGGGCACUCUAAUGGGACCGCCGGUGACAAACCGGAGGAAGGUGGGGAUGACGUCAAGUCCUCAUGGCCCUUAUGGGUAGGGCUUCACACGUAAUACAAUGGUCGGUACAGAGGGCUGCCAACCCGCAAGGGGGAGCUAAUCCCAGAAAGCCGAUCGUAGUCCGGAUUGUAGUCUGCAACUCGACUGCAUGAAGCCGGAUCGCUAGUAAUCGCGGAUCAGCAUGCCGCGGUGAAUACGUUCCCGGGUCUUGUACACACCGCCCGUCACACCAUGGGAGUGGGUUCCACCAGAAGUAGUUAGCCUAACCGCAAGGAGGGCGAUUACCACGGUGAGAUUCAUGACUGGGGUGAAGUCGUAACAAGGUA
rnacentral:rRNA from 1 species